GCCAAUUACUUGAGUUUUAAACUCUUUGUUAAGGUACGAAUCUGCUUCCAAUGUGGAGAAUGUACUGUCCCAAGCUUCAGGGGUUUGUAUAGCUGUUUUCAGAGAUACUUGUAGUGACCUGUAAAUUUUCAUUUCUUCCAAGGUGGUAUGAUAAGGGGCAAGGCGUUUAAUCCUUUCCUGGCCUGUGACUACAAGUACUCCUUUCUGUCCUGUAACUGUGGUGAGGGGCUGCUCUCCACAACCAUUACAAGCUCCACCAAACCAGCGCUCCUCCUCACCCCAGCACCGCUGCCCAGAACUGUGGCCCAGAUCCAAACACGGGUAAAGCAAGAGAUUCCUGCCUCAGCACUGGCAAAGAGAUCCCUGCAAUCCGUGUCUGAUCAGCCACUGGAUUCCCCCUCAGUCUGUGGGCUGGAAGCUCAGGAAGCAGCUGCCCCCCCACAGGGUCACGCUCUUGGGGAAUGGAGCUGAAAUCCCGCCUUCCUUUCUCAGGCACCGACAGAAACAGACUUUUUCCACUGACCUUCUAAUUUGUCUUUGGCAUUGGUGGAUUGAGAAGUCUGGAAACCUCCACAGCUGCCCGAGAUUCAGUCCUCUGAGGCCUGCUCCAAGUUCGCUGCGGCCUGAGUACCCAUGUGGAGCUGUGCUAUGCUCCCAGCCCAGCGCGAUACACCUUUCAGAUCAAUCAUCCAGGUUGUCUUGGGCUGGAAAUUUGUUUCACUCUGUCUUUUUGUGGGUUCUGCUGCUUCAGAAUUUGUUUAGAGCCAUUUUUUAUGAGUAUUUGGAGGGGUUUGGAGGAGAGCUCAAGCGAGUCACUGCAUUCACUCUGCCAUCUUGGCUCCGCCCAGAAACAGUAAAUAAUUUCAUUAAAGAAAAUGAUAACAAUGAGACAACAUACCAAAAUUUGUGGGGUGCAGCCAAAGGAAUACUUGAGGGAAAAUUUAUAUAUCUAAAUGCUCACAUCCACAAAAUUGAGAAAGAGCAGAUCAACUAAUUGGGCAUGCAACUAAA
rnacentral:lncRNA from 1 species